GCUUUCCUGUGGCUCAGUUGGCAUAACAUAGCUCUAACAAUGCAAAGGUUGUGGGUUCAACUCCCAGGGAAAGCA